GCCCGUAUAGCUCAGUUGGUAGAGCAUUGUACUUAUGCGGAUAUCUGGCCAUGCAAGGGUCUCGAGUUCGAUUCUCGAUAUGGGCA
rnacentral:tRNA from 1 species